rnacentral:lncRNA from 1 species
AUGCCAGCUCUGACACGAGGGCAGGAAGGAGGUGCCAGUCAGAGGGCAGAGGAUGCCUCCCUAGGCCGCACGGUCAAGGUCUGGAAGAAAAGGCCGGUGAGCCAGGAGGAGACCGGGAAAGUAAACAUACACGAGGCCCAAAGGCACCUGGCACCAGGGGUGAAUAGGUCAGCUACGCACCAUCCCACGGGAUGUAGAUUCUUGCCUCCUACCACUGGCGAAAAGAAUGGGAAUCCUGUCUUCCUGAGAAACCACUUUGAAGAUACCACCAUGCAUUACAGCAGUCAUUGUUAUUUUCCUAGAAAUCUAUCCAUAACUCUGUAAUGUUUGUAUUGUUCCUAUCCUAUUUCAUAAAUGGAUCCAUGUUUAUUAUUAUGUGUUUCCUACAACAACUAUUGAGAAUUAUUGAAUGAUUAUUCAAUAGGUCACUCAUGCAUAGUUCUAUUUAUAUUCUUUAGAAGCCACUUUGAAGAUACCUAAGUAUAGUACAACAACUAUUGAUAAUCUCGUACCUCUUGUCUGUAACUCAAUAUUAUUUGUCUGUUUUCCUGAGAAACUAUCUUGUAGAUAACAAUAUGUAAAACAAUAACCAUGGAUAAUCUCCUACCACUUUGUCUGCAAUUUGGUAAGCCCCCCCUAUUAUUAUGUUAUCCUUCUUUUACUCUUUAAAAUAAUAAAAAAAAAAAAAAGAAAGAAAAGAAAAGAAUGGGAAUUGGUGUAAGCGUCCUCCACAGCCCUUCACCCUUGGGCCCAACCACAUGACCCUGGGACAGGCAGAUCCUGAACACGGGGCCGUGAAUAUCUAGGUCAGUAUAUGGGGAGGUUACUCCAAUAGUGAGACAUCUUUAUGUUUCAACCGUCUCUAAUUUAAACCUUAUUUCUUUCAAUUAUGAAGGUGGACCAAAACCACAGCCAUAAUAAUGGUGCAUGUGAUUUUAGCACCAAUAAAAUUCGUGGAUAUUUUUCACAUCAUAACACAGUUAUGACUGUAUCGCUUUCCUGCGUUUCCUAUCUUCCCCUGUUUUCCAAUCAAUACAUGGAUGGAGGUGAGUCAAAAACCAUUCUAUAGUUUGUAUGCUGAUGCAUGCGAAACAAACUGGCAGAUUUUUUUUUGGUUUUUUUCCGGUAUUGCAAAUCGAACUCACGACAUCAUGCUUGCCAGGCAGGCGCUGUGCCGCUGAGCUAAAUCCCCAGCCCCGUGGCAGAUAUUUUUAAAAUUUAAGCUUUAACACCUACAUUUUAAAUUUGUAGCCUUGGUAUCUAAUGCAUUAAUAAAGAGAUACUUGUAUUACUAUUCUGUAAGUGCUUUUGAUAAGUACACUUCCAUAUAGUUUGUGGACCAGGGAUAUAGCUCAGCAGCACAAGGGCCUGCCUGGCAAGCGCAUGGUCCUGAGUUCGAUUCCCGGUACCAAAAAAAAACAUCAAUAUAGUUUGUUUCCCUUAAUGUGUUUUGUAUAUGUUAAGAGAGAUUUUCCUAAAAGAGAGCGCUAUAGGUUUCUCAGACGAUCAAAACCAGUCACCCUGCACUAAACAAAAUCAAAGCACUUCCAGAGAUCAGGGGCUGGACUGAUGGUAAGGAUAGACUGUGAUGGCCAAGCACCCCACAAAGCCUGUCACUCAGAACCCUGCCAGCCCAUACAAAGAAUACGAAUUGUAUAUCCAGGACAGUAAGAAACUAUUGAAGUGACUGUUACAAUGAAAUUUGUAUUGAAGUGUAAUGUAUAGAGAAGACUUUACGUAAGUGGAUACCCAGAUGAUACUUUUCUUAUAUUUCCAUAUAAUAUUCCAUGCCACUGAAGGUUUGAAACAAGAAAAUCAACAAUCUAGGAUGUAUUUCAAGAUGACUAGAAAACAUUACAAAAUUCCCACCAUAAAAAUGAUCAGUGGUGGAAGAGAUGGAAAGGCUAUUACCCUGAUUUGAUUAUUACACAUUUUAUGCAUGUAUUGAAUCACCGUAACGUACCCCAUAAAGAUGUACAAAUAUUAUGUCUCAUUUUAAAAGGAAAGAAAUAAAGAGGGCACAAAGAAGGACAUUACUGAAUGUAGGAUUGGUGACCUUGACACCCUGUCACGUCCAAACAGAAACUGACUUGAGAAAAGAAUGAUUCUAUUUGAGAAAAUCCCAAAUUCUUACUUUUAGGGAACCCCCCUACAUAGCAGCUGGAGCAUGCAGCUGAGCUUCCUUUCCCUUAUCUGGCAGACCUUUCGUACAUAACUUUUUAUUUUUGAGCCAGGCGUGGUGGUGCGUGCCUGUAACCCCAGCACUCAGGAGGCUGAGGCAGGAGGAUCAUUGCUAGUUUGAGACCAGCCUGGGCUACAAAGUGAGCUCAAGGCCAGCCUGAACUGCAUAGCAAGACCCUGUCUCAAAAAGACAAAAAAAAACAAAACCUUUUUAUUUCCGAUAUAUAGAAUUGAAUCAAGCACAAUCUAUUUUCAUGACACAAAUACAUAUUGCCCAAUAUAAUUAACUUAUUUAUCUUUAGUAUUGUAACAAAAGCACCUUUAGACACACUACUCAAAACACCAGUGCACUAACCUUAGAAGAGCCAUUUGAGGAAUAAAGCGAGCUUUCUGGCAACAGGGAGUGCACCAGCUGGAAAACCUGAGGCCAGAACUGCAGUUGACUUCCAAAGCUAAAAACCUGAGCAAUCUCAAGUCUUAUUAAUAAGACCACUCACGCCAGAGCCCGCUGUGGUUCCACUUUACCCAUCACCCGGCACAUAGUAUUCGGUCUAUUGUACCCACUUCUAGGAGUUAUAGUUCAAGGGAAAUGUUGACAAAUCUGAGUGUAUCUAGUGAACAUCGUUCAGGAUAGUGAGAGACGGUGAUGAAUAACAAGUCUCAUUCAGCCUUGGGUCGAGGUCAGUGGAGAAGGGAUGAGCAGAUACGAUAGGCGGGACGAGCGGAUACGAUAGGCGGGAUGAGCGGAUAUGAUAGGCGGGACCAGCGGAUACGAUAGGCGGGACCAGUGGAUACGAUAGGCGGGACCAGCGGAUAUGAUAGGCGGGACAAGCGGAUACGAUAGGGGGGACGAGCCGAUAUGAUAGGCAGGAGGAGUGGAUAUGAUAGGCGGGAUGAGUGGAUAUGAUAGGCGGGACCAGAGGAUAUGAUAGGCGGGACCAGCAGAUACGAUAGGCGGGACGAGCGGAUAGGAAGGCGGGACGAGCGGAUACGAUAGGCGGGACCAGCGGAUACGAUAGGCGGGACGAGCGGAUAUGAUAGGCGGGAUGAGCGGAUAUGAUAGGCGGGACCAGCGGAUAUGAUAGGCGGGACCAGCGGAUAUGAUAGGCAGGACGAGUGGAUACGAUAGGCGGGACCAGCGGAUAUGAUAGGCGGGACGAGCAGAUACGAUAGGCA